CCUACGGGGGGCAGCAGUGGGGAAUAUUGCACAAUGGGGGAAACCCUGAUGCAGCGACGCCGCGUGAGUGAAGAAGUAUUUCGGUAUGUAAAGCUCUAUCAGCAGGGAAGAAAAUGACGGUACCUGAUUAAGAAGCCCCGGCUAACUACGUGCCAGCAGCCGCGGUAAUACGGAGGAUGCGAGCGUUAUCCGGAUUUAUUGGGUUUAAAGGGUGCGCAGGCGGAGGUGCAAGUCAGCGGUCAAAUUGCGGGGCUCAACCCCGUACUGCCGUUGAAACUGCAUCCCUUGAGUGCGCGAGAAGUAUGCGGAAUGCGUGGUGUAGCGGUGAAAUGCAUAGAUAUCACGCAGAACUCCGAUUGCGAAGGCAGCAUACCGGCGCGCAACUGACGCUCAUGCACGAAAGCGUGGGUAUCGAACAGGAUUAGAUACCCCUGUAGUC
rnacentral:rRNA from 1 species